rnacentral:rRNA from 1 species
AGGAUGAACGCUGGCGGCGUGCCUAAGACAUGCAAGUCGAGUGGGUUUAGACCCACGGCGAACGGGUGAGUAAUACCUAGGAACUUUCUUUAAGUGGAGCAUAACCCAUAGAAAUGUGGGACAAUUCUCCAUGUGGCAGUAAUGCUAAAGCAGCAAUGCGCUUAAAAGUGAGGCCUGGGCACCAUCAGCUAGUUGGUAAGGUAAUGGCUUACCAAGGCUAUGACGGUUAGGGUCCCGAGAGGGAUAACCCCCACACUGGAACUGCGACACGGUCCAAACUCCUACGGGAGGCAGCAGUUUGGAAUUUUGGACAAUGGGCGAAAGCCUGAUCCAGCGACGCCGCGUGGACGAUGAAGGCCUUGGGUCGUAAAGUCCUUUUGCUCGGGAACAAUAUUUGAGCGUACCGAGAGAAUAAGAGGUUGCUAACUCUGUAGCCAGCAAGGCCGC